rnacentral:misc_RNA from 1 species
GAUGAAGAACGUAGCAAAAUGCGAUAAGUAGUGUGAAUUGCAGAAUUCAGUGAAUCAUCGAAUCUUUGAACGCACAUUGCGCCCCUUGGUAUUCCGAGGGGCAUGCCUGUUCGAGCGUCAUUAUAACCCCUCAAGCUCGGCUUGGUGUUGGGGCCUGCCGCACGGGCAGCCCUUAAAAUCAGUGGCGGUGCCAUCUGGCUCUAAGCGUAGUAAUUCUUCUCGCUAUAGAGUCCCGGUGGAUGCUUGCCAUUAACCCCCAAUUUCAAUGGUUGACCUCGGAUCAGGUAGGGAUACCCGCUGAACUUAAGCAUAUCAAUAAGCGGAGGA